AUUGAACGCUGGCGGCAUGCCUUACACAUGCAAGUCGAACGGUAGAGGGGCAACCCUCGAGAGUGGCGAACGGGUGAGUAAUGCAUCGGAACGUACCCAGUUGUGGGGGAUAGCCCGGCGAAAGCCGGAUUAAUACCGCAUACGCCCCAAGGGGGAAAGCGGGGGACUCGCAAGAGCCUCGCGCAACUGGAGCGGCCGAUGUCAGAUUAGCUAGUUGGUAGGGUAAAAGCCUACCAAGGCGACGAUCUGUAGCUGGUCUGAGAGGAUGACCAGCCACACUGGGACUGAGACACGGCCCAGACUCCUACGGGAGGCAGCAGUGGGAAUUUUGGACAAUGGACGCAAGUCUGAUCCAGCCAUGCCGCGUGCGGGAAGAAGGCCUUCGGGUUGUAAACCGCUUUUGUCAGGGAAGAAAUCCUUUGAGCUAAUAACUCGGAGGGAUGACGGUACCUGGAGAAUAAGCACCGGCUAACUACGUG
rnacentral:rRNA from 1 species